rnacentral:rRNA from 1 species
GAUGAACGCUGGCGGCGUGCCUAAUACAUGCAAGUCGAACGAACAGACGAGGAGCUUGCUCCUCUGACGUUAGCGGCGGACGGGUGAGUAACACGUGGAUAACCUACCUAUAAGACUGGGAUAACUUCGGGAAACCGGAGCUAAUACCGGAUAAUAUAUUGAACCGCAUGGUUCAAUAGUGAAAGACGGUUUUGCUGUCACUUAUAGAUGGAUCCGCGCCGCAUUAGCUAGUUGGUAAGGUAACGGCUUACCAAGGCAACGAUGCGUAGCCGACCUGAGAGGGUGAUCGGCCACACUGGAACUGAGACACGGUCCAGACUCCUACGGGAGGCAGCAGUAGGGAAUCUUCCGCAAUGGGCGAAAGCCUGACGGAGCAACGCCGCGUGAGUGAUGAAGGUCUUCGGAUCGUAAAACUCUGUUAUUAGGGAAGAACAAAUGUGUAAGUAACUAUGCACGUCUUGACGGUACCUAAUCAGAAAGCAACGGCUAACUACGUG